rnacentral:rRNA from 1 species
AUGGCUGGAAUCCCACCGCGACAAUCAAUGGCUUCUCAAGAUGGAGACGAAGGCUCGGCUGUGGCUGGUGCAGGGAAUUUUACCUCAGCUGAUCCUUCGUCUCAACGUGCUACACCAAUAUCUUUAGCUACUCCGAUAUCUCAAGCUGCUACUCCAACAUCUCAAGCUGCUACUGUAACAUCUCAAGCUACAUCUAGCAGAGCUGGUUCUAAGAGGAAGCGAACAUCGACAGUAUGGGAUGAGAUGGAAGAGAAAUUAGAAAAUGGACAACUGAAAGCCGAGUGCAAUCAUUGUCACAGAAAAUUUACUGCAGGACCUAGAGUUGGCACAACUCACUUGCGUGUACAUUUGGAAUCUUAUCCUGCUAAGCAUGCACCCAUUGGUCCACAACAACAAAAAUUGAGGUUGACCAAAGGUGAAGGUGGCAAAGUGAAUAUGGAAAAUGUCAUUUUUGACCAAGAGAAGGCUAGGAGAGAUCUUGCAUUGAUGAUAUGUGAACAUGAGUAUCCUCUAUCUAUUGUGGAUCAUAGUGGUUUUUGUAGAUUCUACACUCUUUGCGACAUUUCAGAGUGUUCUCGAGGAUGA